rnacentral:ncRNA from 1 species
UAAAAAGCUAUGAAAAAGAUGAGUAAAUAAAUUAUCUCUCUCAGUGAACUGGUGCUAGUGAGAAGCCAGCAGACCCUGAUUUAUCGAAAAACACUUUGAGCAAGCUCGCCGAAAUAAUGACUAUUAGAGUAAGUUGAGACGUCCCCGGUACGUUACCAAGCCGGUAAAGUAUGAUUGUACUUUAUAGAGUUGGUCUAAUUAUUUAGACAAUUUGGGUGGUACCGCGGAAAAAGCCUUUCGUCCCUUUC